rnacentral:rRNA from 1 species
AUACGUAGGGCGCGAGCGUUGUUCGGAAUUACUGGGCGUAAAGCGCGUGUAGGUGGCCAGGUAAGUCAGGUGUGAAAGCCCUCGGCUCAACCGGGGAAGUGCACCUGAAACUGCCUGGCUAGAGGGCGGCAGAGGGAGGUGGAAUUCCUGGUGUAGAGGUGAAAUUCGUAGAUAUCAGGAGGAAUACCGGUGGCGAAGGUGGCCUCCUGGACCGUUCCUGACACUGAGACGCGAAAGCGUGGGGAGCAAACAGGAUUAGAAACCCUAGUAGUCC